rnacentral:rRNA from 1 species
GACGAACCGUGCGAACGUUAUUCGGAAUCACUGGGCUUAAAGCGCGUGUAGGCGGGACGGCACGUCGGUCGCUGAAAUCCCCCGGCUCAACCGGGGAACGGGCGCCGAUACGACCGGCCUGGAGGGGCGUAGGGGGACCUGGAGCUUCCGGUGGAGCGGUGAAAUGCGUUGAGAUCGGAAGGAACGCCCGUGGCGAAAGCGAGGUCCUGGACGCCUACUGACGCUGAGACGCGAAAGCCAGGGGAGCGAACGGG